rnacentral:rRNA from 1 species
UACAGAGGUCUCAAGCGUUGUUCGGAUUCAUUGGGCGUAAAGGGUGCGUAGGCGGCGCGGUAAGUCGGGUGUGAAAUUUCGAGGCUUAACUUCGAAACUGCAUUCGAUACUGCCGUGCUAGAGGACUGGAGAGGAGACUGGAAUUUACGGUGUAGCGGUUGAAAUGCGUAGAUAUCGUAAGGAAGACCAGUGGCGAAGGCGGGUCUCUGGACAGUUCCUGACGCUGAGGCACGAAGGCCAGGGGAGCAAACGGG